rnacentral:rRNA from 1 species
CACGUAGGCGGACCAUCAAGUUGGGGGUGAAAUCCCGGGGCUCAACCCCGGAACUGCCUUCAAAACUGUUGGUCUGGAGGUCGAGAGAGGUGAGUGGAAUUCCGAGUGUAGAGGUGAAAUUCGUAGAUAUUCGGAGGAACACCAGUGGCGAAGGCGGCUCACUGGCUCGAUUCUGACGCUGAGGUGCGAAAGCGUGGGGAGCAAACA